rnacentral:lncRNA from 1 species
UGGAACAUCAUCCGUCCUUGUGCUAUCUACUUCACUACCAUGCGUAGUGCCCUAUAGAUCAAGGUUGACAAUUUAAGGUCUUCUGUGAACCAGUCAAUAGAAUGGCUGAAGUAAAGCAUUACAGCGUGCUCAUGCAUGGAAGUGAAUUGCUACCACUAAGGCAUUAUCCCAAAUGGAUAGAUUCUUGUUUCCAUGAAGCAUUGCACAUCUUCCUUGGCUUGAGCAAUUGAGAAUAUCUUUCCAAAAUUGCGUGGUUUAUGGUUCCAUGGGAAAGGGAUGUCUAGAUCUUCAGGUAGAGCUAGCCAAGAUCCUAUGCUUGCCUUAAUCAACCGGCAGCUUGUUGCCUGUCUUGGUAAUUGCGAAGGAUUUUGCUGCAUGUAGAGAUUCAUAACAUGUUCCAUCUGUUUUCCCGUUCAGAUUCAAACUUGAAUCUACAACUUGGGCAUUUAGAUCGACUUAUUUUACUCUAACCGCCGGUUUCCUCAUCCUGUCCCUUGAAGUAUUCCAGAACGCUAGCAACGAUUCCAUGAUCAACACCUCAAAAUGCCACUGACAGCCCACCGACCAAAUAACCCAACACAAGCAACUCAGCUGUGAGCUGAAUAACAACGAAUUGAUAGAAGAAGGAAUUCAAUCAUAGAAAGUAACAUCUCGGUGCAAUUCUGAGAACCCAUUCCAGUCGAAUCCACUUCGCUCAGCAACGACACCAACCGAUCGACCAAAAGAGAUCUAGUGAAUAGCAAAGACUUGCAGAACCUACAGAUAUGGCUGGUCGGAGAUGCUGCACGCUUCAACUGAGGAUUGUGAACGAAAACACAACUACAACUUCACCAUACAAGACCCCGAAACGCGGGUUUUACUAUUCAUGUCGCCCUUCACAGACAUGCCAUUACAGUGGUUACGCGCAGAAACUAACCUCCAUCGUCAUCACUCGCUUGAGAAAACACACACUGAAGUCCUUCAAAGUUUCGAGUUAAGAAAUCGUAAACUGUGAGGAGAAGCGAUGCGUCUCGAAUACAUCUAUGCGUGAACAUUCCCAUACUUUGAGACUCAGUUUAUAAUCGUACACAUUCG